AGAGUUUGAUCAUGGCUCAGGAUGAACGCUAGCUACAGGCUUAACACAUGCAAGUCGAGGGGCAGCAUGUUGGUUGCUUGCAACCAACGAUGGCGACCGGCGCACGGGUGAGUAACGCGUAUCCAACCUACCCUUGUCCAUCGGAUAACCCGUCGAAAGGCGGCCUAACACGAUAUGCGGUUCACAGCAGGCAUCUAACGUGAACGAAAUGUAAAGGAGAAGGAUGGGGAUGCGUCUGAUUAGCUUGGUUGGCGGGGUAACGGCCCACAAGGCUACGAUCAGUAGGGGUUCUGAGAGGAAGGUCCCCCANAUUGGAACUGAGACCACGGUCCAAACUCCUACGGGAGCA
rnacentral:rRNA from 1 species